rnacentral:rRNA from 1 species
CGGGUGCACUGAUCCAGCCGGGCCUUUCCCUCUGUGGAACCCCAUGGCCUUCACUGGCUGUGGUGGGGAAACAGGACUUUUACUUUGAAAAAAUUAGAGUGCUCCAGGCAGGCCUAUGCUCGAAUACAUUAGCAUGGAAUAAUAGAAUAGGACGUGUGGUUCUAUUUUGUUGGUUUCUAGGACCGCCGUAAUGAUUAAUAGGGACAGCCGGGGGCAUCAGUAUUCAAUUGUCAGAGGUGAAAUUCUUGGAUCUAUUGAAGACUAACUACUGCGAAAGCAUUUGCCAAGGAUGUUUUCAUUGAUAAGGAACGAAAGUUAGGGGAUCGAAGACGAUCAGAUACCGUCGUAGUCUUAACUAUAAACUAUGCCGACUAGGGAUCGGACGAUGUUAUUCUUUGACGCGUUCGGCACCUUUCGAGAAAUCAAAGUGCUUGGGCUCCAGGGGGAGUAUGGUCGCAAGGCUGAAACUUAAAGAAAUUGACGGAAGGGCACCACCAGGGGUGGAACCUGCGGCUUAAUUUGACUCAACACGGGGAAACUCACCAGGUCCAGACACAGUGAGGAUUGACAGAUUGAGAGCUCUUUCUUGAUUCUGUGGGUGGUGGUGCAUGGCCGUUCUUAGUUGGUGGAGUGAUUUGUCUGCUUAAUUGCGAUAACGAACGAGACCUUAACCUGCUAAAUAGCCCGUACUGCUUUGGCAGUUCGCCGGCUUCUUAGAGGGACUAUCGG